GGCAUUUGUGAAAGCAGCACUCGACGAACAGCAGCAGCAGCAGCAGAAAUAACAGCGAAUGUCCGCAAUUAAUUGUUUUUUCUUCGUAAAUUGUCAAACCUUUCUAAUUUUUUUAGAAAUCCCAUCUCCUACUAACUAUUUUGAUUCCUUGAGCCUACGAAAGUAAGGCAGAAGCUGAAUAAUUGCUACUUCAUCGAGAGAAAGGAAGGACAGUGACUCGAAGAUGAGUUUUAAUUAUGGUCGCCCCCCUCCAAAAAUUGAGGGGAUGGUGUCCCUCAAAGUGGACAAUUUAACCUAUCGAACCACACCAGAUGAUUUGCGACGCGUUUUCGAAAAGUACGGAGAUGUUGGAGAUGUUUAUAUUCCGAGGGAUCGUUGGACUAGGGAAUCGAGGGGGUUCGCUUUUGUGAGGUUUUAUGAUCGACGAGAUGCUGAGGACGCGAUGGAGACGCUUGACGGUCGAGUGUUGGAUGGUCGCGAGUUGCGUGUGCAGAUGGCGAGAUAUGGACGACCAGCGAGUCCUGUGGGAGGAGAGAGAAGGAGUCGUCGUGGAAGUCGGGGACGCGGAGGAAGAAGUCGAUCAAGGUCAAUGUCUAGAGAUGGUCGAAAUGGUCGAAGGGGGAGAUCUAGGUCUAGAUCUGGCAGCGGUGGUGGCCGUAGGAAGAGUCGUCGUCAUUCGAGAAGUCGGUCUGGAUCGGGUGGUGGUGGUGGUCGCAGCAGGCGAGACAGAUCUGUCUCACGUGGCCGAAAAGACAAGUCUCCCCGUUCAAAAUCAAAAUCCGUCACACCAAGUCGCAAAUCCAGAUCUAAAUCUCACGAAUCAAGAUCCAGGUCAAAGUCACCUGUUCGGAAACGAGUUUCUCACUCAAGAUCCCGAAGCCCAGUAAAACUGGAGAAAGCAGUGAAAGAUCGUUCCGCAUCCCGAUCACCGAGCCGUUCUCAUUCACGAUCACGUUCACCUUCAGAAUAAUGGAACUACUACUUUGACUGUUGUUUGCAGAGUUGAUAAUGAAAAUGUCUUCGCUAUCUCUAUCAUUGGUUUUCACCAUCCGUCUGUCUGCUGGUUUGAAAAACAUGCGGUAAAAGUGAGAGUGCCGUAUUUUGGUGGUGCACAUGCUGCUGAAGGCGCAUUUCUUCGUUCCUGUUAAUGGUGGUGUUGCAGCCAGCCGCUAACUAAAUAAGAUGGGAGAGAGGGGGGAGCAGAGGGUGGGGCUGGCUGGUGUUUGGUGGUUUGGUGUUUUGCUGUUUGAAAGGCGAGAUUCUGUCCUGAUUUUCCUUACGGUAUGAAUUACAUCCAUCUCCAUAAAAUAACAAAGGAACACACAAUUCAUUCACUCACUUAUGAAAACACUUACUUUUAUAAUUGACAUACUUUACUGUUUCAAUUCCAAAUAGUUCCAUCAAAAAAAUUAAUUAUCAUUUUAUUACAAUUUAUGACUUUUUGAUGAAUUUUCAAAUGUUUGUUGGGGACCUGGAUGAUCGAGAAAGCGUGGUGGUGGUGGUGGUUGGUGUAGUAAGCAGUCGGUCGGUGUGGUGGUGGGGUGACCCGUUGGCGUUGGCGUUUAUUUCCUCCUCCUCUUGGCUGGAUGGGUGGUUGUAUGCAUAUCAGGCUGUUUCGAGAGUUCCUGCUCGAGAAUGGUAAAAUAAUUUCAUUUUUUCAUCCAUUAUUCACAUGAUGUUAGAAAAAAUACUCUGUCCCCUCUUCCGAGUGAUUGAUUACAUUUGGAGUGCAGUUUUUCACGAUGUAUUUAAAUUCUCUCGUCGUGGGACCAAGAGUGAAAGUGAAUAUAAAUGGUUUCCUGCUGCAUUUAUAACUUUUAAGUGAAAAAAUAUUUUUUCCCGUAAUAGCAAAAAUAAUCAAUUGAUGCUUAUUAAUGUUCUACAUAUUCCCCUUCAAACUCAGCAAUAUUAUGAACCCCACUCCGUCAUAAAUAUUUAACGGAUAUUUACCUCUCCUUCGAUAUAGACACGAUUACUUAUUUGUGCUGUUACUCGUUUUCCUCGUCGUAUUAAAUUGAAUAAAAGUUGUACCCCAACCAGGUACGUUUUUCUGAUGAAAAUUA